CCUACCCACAAGCCCAACUCAUCCAUUACCCACCCGCUGGCUCCACCGUGCCCACCCUAGCUUUGCCUCUGCCUAACGCCGCCGCCUCCCAGCGUGCCCCUUCCUCAGCGCCGCCGGCCGUGUCCUCCAUUAGCGCCACCGCCCCUCGAAGCUCGCCUGCUCCACCGCCUUCACCUUCCAACUCGACCUUGCCGGUCACCCAGCACCUAAAUCCACCGCUUCAAGUGGAGCAACCGCCGCCGCCUUGCCCUUACGGCGACCACCUAUUCGCCGGAGUAAUUAGUGGUGAGAAUGGGACACUCGCGUCAGCUCGUGACGAACGGUGUGCUCGUGACGAGCCCUAGCUUCAUGGCUCCCCUUGCCGGCCGGGAUUCCUCCACCUUGCUACUCCGAUGAGUGGUGUUCGACCUCAGGUCCAUUCCGGGCCGCCCUAUCAGUAGGCUGUGCAGCGACAGUUUGACAAGCGUAUCUACAUUCCUUUACCUGACUCGCAAGCAAUGCAGCAUAGGUUUAAGGUCCAUCUUUGGGGAUACAGCACACAGCUCAUGGGAAAGUGAUUUUGAGGUCUUGGGUCGUGGGACAGAUGGAUUUUCUGGUUCCGACAUCGCUCUCUGUAACAGCACAAGUUGUUUCGCACAAUCCUGAGGUGUGUCUGUACUCUGUACAAUGUGACAAGUUUCUAAUUCUUGCUAGUAUUUGUUAACAGGUGAAAGAUGUGUUGUUUGAGCCCGUGUGCAAGACACAGGACGCAAUGUUCUUCUUUUGGACUGAUGGUGGCGCUAUACAGACCACGAUCGAGGAGCUUGCAUCCAAAGGCGCCUGAUCGCCUCACAGAUUCUUUCACCCCUGAUCCAAAAGACCGAUGUCAAGAAGAUCAUAGCUGGCAGAGGUCGACCGUUGUCAAGACGGAGGUACACAAGAAGUAUAGGAAUGAGUUCGGCGAGGACGGUUGAUGCGCCGCAAGUACUCUCUGUACUCAAUAAGUGCACCAAGGAGUAAUGAUUCUUAAGGUGGGGAGUCCUUGUGGUGUAGCUUGAUAGUAGUAGUUUUCAGUUUCUCUUGCAUCUAUUUCUCCUAAUUUUCUUUUGUGCAACUUUUGUUGUGCCCUUAGAUCAUAAUUAAUGUCGCAUCUAAAAUUACUUUUUACUCUUUUCGACGGGGUGUGUCAAGUUUUGUGCCGGGCUACCUGCAACGAGACCUGAAUCAUGUAAGCUCCACUUGACAGCUGAAUUAUACGUUGUCCUGUGGAUUCAGUGGUACCUCCUGUAAACUUUUAUGAAUUGGUACCUUGUGGGGCUCAGCCUCAGGCGCGGAUGCUAGUUA